rnacentral:rRNA from 1 species
UCUACGGGGGGCAGCAGUGAGGAAUAUUGGUCAAUGGGCGCGAGCCUGAACCAGCCAAGUAGCGUGAAGGAUGACUGCCCUACGGGUUGUAAACUUCUUUUAUAAAGGAAUAAAGUGAGGCACGUGUGCCUUUUUGUAUGUACUUUAUGAAUAAGGAUCGGCUAACUCCGUGCCAGCAGCCGCGGUAAUACGGAGGAUCCGAGCGUUAUCCGGAUUUAUUGGGUUUAAAGGGAGCGUAGAUGGGGUGUUAAGUCAGUUGUGAAAGUUUGCGGCUCAACCGUAAAAUUGCAAUUGAUACUGGCAGUCUGGAGUACAGUUGAGGUAGGCGGAAUUCGUGGUGUAGCGGUGAAAUGCUUAGAUAUCACGAAGAACUCCGAUUGCGAAGGCAGCUUACUAAACUGCCACUGACAUUGAUGCUCGAAAGUGUGGGUAUCAAACAGGAUUAGAUACCCGAGUAGUC